GAUAAACGCUGGCGGCGUGCAUUAGACAUGCAAGUCGAACGAACGACCUCGGGCUUGCUCGGGGAAGUUAGUGGCGAACGGCUGAGUAACGCGUAGGUGACCUGCCCAGAAGUGGGGAAUAACUGCCCGAAAGGGUGGCUAAUACCGCAUGUGGUCAUGGAUUCGGUUCCACGACCAAAGCCUUCGGGCGCUUCUGGAGGGGCCUGCGUUCGAUUAGCUCGUUGGUGAGGUAACGGCUCACCAAGGCGACGAUCGAUAGGUGGUCUGAGAGGAUGAUCACCCAGACUGGGACUGAGACACGGCCCAGACUCCUACGGGUGGCAG
rnacentral:rRNA from 1 species